rnacentral:rRNA from 1 species
UACGUAGGGUCCGAGCGUUGUCCGGAAUUACUGGGCGUAAAGAGCUCGUAGGUGGUUUGUCGCGUUGUUCGUGAAAACUCACAGCUCAACUGUGGGCGUGCGGGCGAUACGGGCAGACUUGAGUACUGCAGGGGAGACUGGAAUUCCUGGUGUAGCGGUGGAAUGCGCAGAUAUCAGGAGGAACACCGGUGGCGAAGGCGGGUCUCUGGGCAGUAACUGACGCUGAGGAGCGAAAGCCAGGGGAGCGAACGGG